ACCUAAAUGAUAAAUCAAAAAGGGUCAGAAAGGAGCAAAACAGUGUUUCUUACCGAUUAUACUACAAUUCUCUUACUUCCUUCCUUGAAUUCUCAAAGUCGCUCCAAUGGUGAAUCUCAUCAUUUACCUUUAUUUCUUUGUUUGAAAGGAUACUUAAAGAGUUUUACUUGGUUCAAACUAUCACUGAAGUCUAUUCCAUGAGUCAUUCCAUUACAAGAGAGCAUCCAAGUUGAUUUGGGGAUACAAUUUGACUACUGACUAGAGCUUUAUUUAUAAGCGGCAAAGAAUGAUCAGAGAAGCCUCCAGAUUAGUGCCAUUGGGUUUAUCUAUUUCCAGUAGAGACUCUCUUACGAGAAGGAACACUUGCCUUGUGCUAGCUUCCAACAAUAAGGUUGUUUUUUCUUAAUCCAUGAUAUUUAAUAUAUAUAUAGUCAGACCCAGAUGUAUAUAGUCAGAUUUCUAUUGAGUUAUACUAUGGUAGUAGUUGUUACAUAUCUGGAAAACUAAAGAUAGAGACACGGAUUUGAUUAUUAUAUCAGAUCUUUUUAUCUCUUGAAGUUGUUCAUCAUUGCCCGUUAAUAUGGAAUCCAUUUUUAUUCGAGCUACAUCUAGAGUGCACAUUCUCAUUGCCUGUAAAAAUUCAGUUAACUUGUGCAUUGUGAAUGUGAUCUAGAAUAGUUAUAGUUUUUGUUAUGCUUAUGAGUUUACCAGACAUAGUCAAGUGUCUACCAAAGUUGACUAUGGUAGAGACUGUUACAUGUUUGGAAAAGGAAGUCUAGAGAAGGAAAUUUGAUUCAUGGGUUUCCCAUCUAUCUUUUGGACUCUCUUGAAGGUGUUCAUCGUUGCCCGAUAAUAUCAUGUAAUUAUUAACGAGCUACAUCUGGACCCUACAUUGUUAAAUGGGAUGACAAAGGUUUAGCAGUGGCGAUAGCGCAAAAUGUUGACACUGGAGCCAUAUUAAUGCAAGGGUUUGCCAACAGGGAUGCUGUAGCCACAACAAUUUUGUCACGAAAGGCUACAUUCUUCAGCCACUCUAGGUCCACUAUCUGGACAAAGGGAGAGAUGUCAAAUAAUUUGAUCAACGAGCAUGACAUCUUCAUUGACUGUGACUGAGACUCGGUAUGUUUUGCUUUGUAUGCUAAUUUUAGUGUCAUUGGCAAGCAAGUAGGUAGAACAGGGGAUUUUUAGGGAGACAGAAGAGAAAGUUCUUAUAAGAGAGGAGACUUGUGGUUUUAAUUAUAAUCUAACUUGAAAACUAUGAAUACUAUGGCAGUAUAACCAAUUAGGAAAUUAAAUAACAAAUCUUUAAUUUGUUUGCCAUUGACAUUUAACAUUAUAAGUAGAAAAGUGAGAAGAGAAGUAAAAGAUUUGAUAAAGGGGAUAAUAGCCGAAAAAAGGAAAAUUAAAUUAUGAGAAGAAAUCUGAGUGGUUAUAAUUAUAAUCUUAUUAAAUUCAUAAAGAUAUUGGUAAGAAUGCCAAUUUCUGGCAAGUAAACAAAUUACUUUUGUAUGUACACUAGAUUUUCAUCACCUUUGAUCCAACAAUAACUUGAGAUUUUCUUUUUAGAUAAUCUAACCUGAUUUUGUUAUGGUUUUUAAUGUUCUUUCUUUCAAAGAUUUGUAGUAUAAACCCAAGAUUUGUAUUAUUGCUUUCUUUGGAAGAAGAUUCUUCAAGGACUGGACAUAUUCAUGUACAGAAAGAAGGCAAUGACAGCUGCUGCAUUUUCUGCUGAUGGCUCUGUUUUGGCGGUUGCGGCAGAAACUGUUAUCACAUUAUGGGACCCUGAACUGAACACAACGUCCUUGUUGCUGUACUCUGAGAAAUUCAAAAGCCAAUUAGGUCUCUAUCGUUUGCUGGAAAGUCAGACUAUCUUGUGACUGUGUCCGGAGGUUCACAACCACAGCUGUCAGUAUGUAGUAUGUCGAAACUCUCUGUAUCCUGGUCAUACAAGCUUCAAGUAGAAGGUAAAAAUAUAUUCAAAGCAGGCAAGCCAUCAUCUCAAGAGUUGCUUGUGUAUGUAGAUGGUGAUCAUGAAUUUGCUGUAUUUGACCCACAGAGUAGCAAAACACAUGAACUUAGCCUAACUGGACAACAAAACCUUGCUACCAUUGAGAAGCAACCAAUGAAUGUUGUUGCUUUGCUGAUAAUUUUGGUCAAAUUAAUUAUGCUUAGCUCAAAAUUAAGGCAAAUCCAUUUUGUUAUUGGAUUUUACAUGAUGAUGUUUUUGUACCAAUGUUUGUGAGUCACAAAAGUAAUAUAAUCUUAUGUUUCAAUUUCCUUUUCUGUUACAAAACAAAAAAUUAUUACAGUAGAGAUAAUACUUUGAGAUAUUGUAAUUUACAUUAUUAUUCUGUAAUGAAAAUUUUUGUAUUCUUUUUUCUA